rnacentral:rRNA from 1 species
UACGUAGUUGGCAAGCGUUGUCCGGAUUUACUGGGCGUAAAGGAUGCGUAGGCGGAUAUUUAAGUCAGAUGUGAAAUUCCCGAGCUUAACUUGGGAGCUGCAUUUGAAACUGGGUAUCUAGAGUGUGGGAGAGGAAAGUGGAAUUCCUAGUGUAGCGGUGAAAUGCGUAGAGAUUAGGAAGAACCCCAGUGGCGAAGGCGACUUUCUGGACCAUAACUGACGCUGAGGCAUGAAAGCGUGGGGAGCAAACAGG